UACGUAGGUGGCAAGCGUUGUCCGGAAUUAUUGGGCGUAAAGCGCGCGCAGGCGGUCCUUUAAGUCUGAUGUGAAAGCCCACGGCUCAACCGUGGAGGGUCAUUGGAAACUGGGGGACUUGAGUGCAGAAGAGGAGAGUGGAAUUCCACGUGUAGCGGUGAAAUGCGUAGAGAUGUGGAGGAAUACCAGUGGCGAAGGCGACUCUCUGGUCUGUAACUGACGCUGAGGCGCGAAGGCUAGGGGAGCGAACAGG
rnacentral:rRNA from 1 species